CAGCCGCCGCGGUAAUACCGGCGGCCCGAGUGGCGGCCACUAUUAUUGGGCCUAAAGCGUCCGUAGCCGGGCUGGUAAGUCCUCCGGGAAAUCUGGUCGCUUAACGAUCAGACUUCCGGAGGAUACUGCUGGCCUAGGGACCGGGAGAGGCCGAGGGUAUUCCCGGGGUAGGGGUGAAAUCCUGUAAUCCCGGGAGGACCACCUGUGGCGAAGGCGCUCGGCUGGAACGGGUCCGACGGUGAGGGACGAAGGCCAGGGGAGCGAACCGGAUUAGAUACCCGGGUAGUCCUGGCUGUAAACGAUGCGGACUAGGUGUCGGGCAAGCUAGGGGCUUGUCCGGUGCCGCAGGGAAGCCGUUAAGUCCGCCGCCUGGGGAGUACGGCCGCAAGGCUGAAACUUAAAGGAAUUGGCGGG
rnacentral:rRNA from 1 species